UAACGUACUAAAAUUAUGGGAUGGAUUACAGCAGGCGUGGCAGGCUUUUCAGCUGUGGUUGGACUUGUAGGGUUGAGCGUGGUUGCUGGUAAAGGAAUCAGUUUGAUGCAUCUCUACCUUCCAAAAUUUAAAUUUAGUCUCGGCUGGUCAUUCAGCCUAUUCCUCAUCGGACAAUUCACGUUUCUCUUCGCCUCCGUCUGGCACUUUUUAGAUGCCAGAGACACGGUCAAAAAGUAGCUGAGAGGUAGACAUCAGGGGCGUCGCCAUGGUGGAGGGGGAGUGUCUGAGAUCAAAAGAUGCCAGCACAUUAUAUUACGUGCAAGGCCCAGUCAUUAUAUCUUGCUAUUCAUGAUUUUAUAUUGGUUAUGACCCUGUUGCAUAUAUUCCACACAUAUUAUUUAACUCAGUUCAUGCGGGGUUACUCUCAGGAAGUAACCCGAGUUACAUAUUAUUAAUUAUAUAUCUAUAAAGUAGAUUUAUCUAAUGCCAUGAUUUCUAAUGUCAAAAAUACAUCUGCCCCAAGAAGAGGGCAAUUCCCCAGGCUCUUCUAUUCAUAGCUACGCCACUGGUAAACAUAAUCUUGUUCAGCAUGGACAUAUAGGUGACAGUAGAUGUGUAUAUAUAGGUGAUAGUAGAUUUGUACAUAUCUCCUCGCUAUAUUCUGGAUAGUGUCUACUACACAUUUCAAUUAAUGCUGUAAAUGAUAACAAAAUGAUAAAUAUGGACAUUUUUUGUAAUAUAAACAGAACAAAUGUCUGGAAAUAAAUCUCAAUAAUGAUCAAUAGC
rnacentral:sRNA from 1 species